rnacentral:rRNA from 1 species
CCUACGGGUGGCAGCAGUGGGGAAUAUUGGGCAAUGGGCGCAAGCCUGACCCAGCAACGCCGCGUGAAGGAAGAAGGCUUUCGGGUUGUAAACUUCUUUUCGCAGGGACGAAGAAAGUGGCGGUACCUGAGGCAUAAGCCACGGCUAACUACGUGCCAGCAGCCGCCGUAAUCCGUAGGUGGCAAGCGUUAUCCGGAUUUAUUGGGUGUAAAGGGCGUGUAGGCGGGAGGGCAAGUCAGAUGUGAAAACUCAGGGCUGAACCCUGAGCCUGCAUUUGAAACUGUGUUUCUUGAGUGCUGGAGAGGCAAGCGGAAUGCGGGGUGUAGCGGUGAAAUGCAUAGAUAUCACACAGAACACCGAUUGCGAAGGCAUCGCACG